GUUUCGGAUUAGACUCAGUUGGGUUGGUCCCCUGGAUUAGUUGUGGGGCUUGGAAACGUUGUGUCGCCCAAUCCUGCCGACACACCUUUUGUGUGUUCCUACUCGAGUGGCAAUAAGGGUUGGACGAAUGUGUACGGGUAAAUUGGCACACCCUGCAGGGAUAAAUCUUUCGGAAAGCCGUGUCCGCGGUUAUGGACGACUUGGUUGGUCAUUACUUGAUCAUAGAGAACUUAACCAACUUAAUCUCAACCACUUGACUAGUUAUUAGGGAUUAUUCUUUGGAUAUGCUUAAAACUACUUAAGUGUGAGUGUCCUUUGGAUUGCUUCCUCACAGGGUGUUGACGGGGUGAUAUGAGGAUUGUGUUGUUUGGUGUUUAGUAAUAGGUUAAUCACUUUCACCUUGGUAGACGCUUCUCAUCCUCUCAUUAGACGUUGUCAUUAGAGUGUCUCUCCAGAUAUUUUUGCUCCUUCAUAACCCCACCAUUUUUCCCUCCUUUGAGACUUGUCGCAUAAUUAAUUUAGUUCUCCCCACCAUUUUCCCCUCCUUUGCGCACCUCUUUCCUAGCCAAACCGAAUCUCGAGGACGAGAUUCAUCUUAAGGGGGUUAGGUCUGUAACAUCCCAAAAUUUCAAAACCUUUCAUAUGCAUUGCAUCUAUGAGUAUCAUGCCACAAUUGCAUUUUUUAAUUCAAAUUUGAAUAUCAAAAGGCUUUAAAAAGAUUUUAUUUCAAUUUAAACCCUAGGGUUUCACCCAUUUGAGCUUUGGAUCUUAAAACCAAUAAGGUUUAUCUAUAAAUGGGGUUUAUUGCAUAAAUGAGCUAUCACAUAAUUUUUAAGAAUUUAUUUGGAGUUGAAAAACUAUUUUAUUUUCAUAGUUAAAUAGCCCUAAAGGCAUUUAUAGGGAAAAUGUAUUUUUAUAUAUUUUAUUUGGAAGGGAAAUCACUCCCAAAAAGUGAAUCAUGAUAAAACAUGAUUUUAAAAAAUUUCUGGAAUUUAUUUGAAUCAAUUUGGAGUUCAAAAUCAAAAGAUAUCACAGAAAUCAGAAAAAGGGAAAAAAAGAAAAAAAAAGAGAAAACCGGCCC
rnacentral:lncRNA from 1 species